CGCCAGACUCCUACGGGAGGCAGCAGUGGGGAAUAUUGGGCAAUGGGCGCAAGCCUGACCCAGCAACGCCGCGUGAAGGAAGAAGGCUUUCGGGUUGUAAACUUCUUUUCUCAGGGACGAAGAAAGUGACGGUACCUGAGGAAUAAGCCACGGCUAACUACGUGCCAGCAGCCGCGGUAAUACGUAGGGGGCAAGCGUUAUCCGGAUUCACUGGGUGUAAAGGGAGCGUAGACGGCGACGCAAGUCUGGAGUGAAAGCCCGGGGCCCAACCCCGGGACUGCUCUGGAAACUGCGUCACUGGAGUACGGGAGGGGCAGGCGGAAUUCCUAGUGUAGCGGUGAAAUGCGUAGAUAUUAGGAGGAACACCAGUGGCGAAGGCGGCUUGCUGGACAGUAACUGACGUUGAGGCUCGAAAGCGUGGGGAGCAAACAGGAUUAGAUACCCGCGUAAU
rnacentral:rRNA from 1 species